UCCAUUUGAAGGUGAUUAACUUUAGUUUCCAUAGGCACAGUGAAGUGUUUUGCUGUCCUGGAUGAUGGGAAGCACCAAUUGGGGCAUGUCUGAUCUUCUUCAUGGACUAACAGCAACUCCAGGGCAGAGGAACACUUAUUUCCCACCAGGCUAACCAUACACUGGAUAUUCAGUAAACUACAGCUUGCAUUUUACCAAAAGGAACCCAGUUUCAGUCAACGCUUGUGUGCUGAUACCUGCAAUCAAGGUCUUAUUAAACUAAACAAAUCAUGUCUUCAUGCAAGUUAAGGAAGCAUAAAUACUGUCUCUUCUGAAACUCAAAAUGCCUGUGAGAAAAUUUAUUUGAAAAUCACUUCGUCCUCACAUGAAUAUGGCCUCUUCCCCAAGCCUACUCCUCCAAUAGUUGUACUUUCUAUCACUCAGAAGACACUUGGAUGUCAUCCAAACACAUGGUCUCCUGAGUGUUCUUCUCUACUUCCAAUGCCCAGUCUUAUCCCAAGUCCUUAUAGUCUCUAAAGUAUGUCAGUAGCCUUUAGAUUAAUCUCACUUCUAUGAAUACUAACACACACUACACCCCCAUACACCCACAAUCACACACUUUGAUAACUCCUCCACUUUGUUCAGAGAGCUUUCUUUUUAAGUUCUGAAAUCUGUGUCACUUGCUUCCUCAACUAUUACAGCAGGAGCUGUUAAUGAAUUCCCCACACACUAUGCUGUAACACAUAUGAACAUGUAACAUACAGAGCAAAUUCCAUAUUCUCAAAUGGGAAUCAGUAAAUGGUGGCCACAUCCACCCCCAACCUAUUUUUGUA